CACGUAGGGCGCAAGCGUUGUCCGGAAUUAUUGGGCGUACAGAGCUCGUAGGCGGUCUGUUGCGUCCGCUGUGAAAACUCGGGGCUUAACCCCGAGCCUGCAGUGGAUACGGGCAGACUAGAGGUAGGUAGGGGAGAAUGGAAUUCCCGGUGUAGCGGUGAAAUGCGCAGAUAUCGGGAGGAACACCGGUGGCGAGGGCGGUUCUCUGGGCCUUACCUGACGCUGAGGAGCGAAAGCGUGGGGAGCGAACAGG
rnacentral:rRNA from 1 species